rnacentral:lncRNA from 1 species
GUGUUGGGUUGGAGUGGCGGCUUGGGGCGCAGCGUCCCUGAACUUCCUAGAGUUUCUCAGAUUGUUAGAUAUUGAAGGUAGUGUUGAAAAAUCAUUGCAGUGAUCCUAGGGAUGGGAAGCUCGAGUCGUUCCACCUGUGUCUUCCGCACCGCAGGAGUUUUGCUGAAUUAAAAGGCACUACUUUAAUUAAAAAGGAUAAACCUGGGUUUGGAGUUCGGAAGGCCUUAGGCUCAAGGGCUCCAGUUGAGGAAGCGUGAACAUUUUGACUGGAGUUGAUCUUAACCCAAUGGACUUUCCCUGUGCUGACCAACCCUUUCAUCACAAGCAAUAUAUUCGGUUGCUGAGCCCUGGAAAUGUAAGCAGUCUGAAGUGAGAGAUGCUGUAAAUGAACACUGUACACUGACAAGUACCCAACACUUCCCCAAAGAGAGUAAAAUACCUCAUUAAUAGUAAUAGUGCAUAUAUUCCAGUUAUUUGCUGGCCAAUUUUUUAUGUGUUCGGUUAAAGAAUAUUUACUGUCACUCACCUGUUUGGUUUUACUGUCUUUGAACUAGGGCAUCAGAAACGAUGGGGCUGCGUGCUUAACUCCCAUUGUUAUGGCUCCAGCUCAGCACUCCACAGACAGAAAGCCUGUGGUGAGGAGCAGUGGGUAUCUGCAAAGGCUUUCUCUUCUUAGACCGGGUUUCUCUGUGUAGCCCUGGCUGUCCCGGAACUCAAACUUUGUAGACCAGGCUGGCCUCAAACUCAGAAAUCCACCUACCUGUGCCUCCCAUGUGCUGGGAUGAAAGGCAUCUGACGCUGCCAUGUUGCCUGCAUCUACUUCUAAAUGAAUGAAAUUCGAGAGCUAAUGAAAUGAAUGGUUAAUAAAAGAGUGUUGAACCCCUUAAAA